AGCGGAAUAAGCUAAAUAAGCUUUUGGGCCCAUACCCCAAAAAUGCUGGUUAAAAUCCUCCUCCCGCUA
rnacentral:tRNA from 1 species